rnacentral:lncRNA from 1 species
UGAGGUCGCGGAUUGCUAUUCAUGGAGGAGUUUCUGUUAUAUCCAUCUUCUUGAUUGUUGUAGUUCGCGGCUUGGAUCCUUGUGAGUCGAAAUUACAUCAUCCGUUGUUCUUGCCACGGCCUCUUCCCCUUUGAGCAACAAAGGCAUGAUCAUUAUUUGUUGCCUCUGCUUUUUCUUCAUCAUCUUGCAAAGCUAGCUGCUGCCCCAAGCCCUGUAAGCCCGUUACAAUUAUUGACUGAAAGUUAGAUAUGAUUGUUUUGAUAGAACUGCCUAGUCGCAGGCCUGGUAACGAGGUCCCAAGCAUCUUGCCAGUUGGAAGACUUUGUCUACUUCCUCCAUGGGCUGUUGUAUAGCUAUGAGACUGACAUAAGAGUUUGAACUUCCUGACAAACUCAUCCAACGGCUGAUUUCCCUUCAUCAUAGCCAGUUGGAUCUUUAGCUGCAUUUCUUUCUCCUUUGUAGAUGUGAGAAACUGUUCCUCCAAGCAUCUCCAGAUUUGUCAUGUAAUGCUACAGUGGACAGCUAAACCAAGGACUUCCUGUCAUGGGUUCUAGGAGCCCACUAGUAAG